GACGAACGCUGGCGGCGUGCUUAACACAUGCAAGUCGAACGGAAAGGCCCUGCUUUUGUGGGGUGCUCGAGUGGCGAAAGGGUGAGUAACACGUGAGUAACCUGCCCUUGACUUUGGGAUAACUUCAGGAAACUGGGGCUAAUACCGGAUAGGAGCUCCUGCCGCAUGGUGGGGGUUGGAAAGUUUCGGCGGUUGGGGAUGGACUCGCGGCUUAUCAGCUUGUUGGUGGGGUAGUGGCUUACCAAGGCUUUGACGGGUAGCCGGCCUGAGAGGGUGACCGGCCACAUUGGGACUGAGAUACGGCCCAGACUCCUACGGGAGGCAGCAGUGGGGAAUAUUGCACAAUGGGCGGAAGCCUGAUGCAGCAACGCCGCGUGCGGGAUGACGGCCUUCGGGUUGUAAACCGCUUUCGCCUGUGACGAAGCGUGAGUGACGGUAAUGGGUAAAGAAGCACCGGCUAACUACGUG
rnacentral:rRNA from 1 species